rnacentral:rRNA from 1 species
UACGGGGGGGGCAAGCGUUGUUCGGAAUUACUGGGCGUAAAGGGCUCGUAGGCGGCCAACUAAGACGGAUGUGAAAUCCCCAGGCUCAACUUGGGAACUGCAUCCGAAACUGGAUGGCUUGAAUUCGGGAGAGGGAUGCAGAAUUCCAGGUGUAGCGGUGAAAUGCGUAGAUAUCUGGAGGAAUACCGGUGGCGAAGGCGGCAUCCUGGACCGACAUUGACGCUGAGGAGCGAAAGCUAGGGGAGCAAACGGG